rnacentral:miRNA from 1 species
AGCUAGAGUUAUGUGUCUGAU